GCUGGCGGCCAAAGCGGAAGGGAAACACCCGGUCCCAUUCCGAACCCGGAAGUUAAGCCUUCCAGCGUAGUGGAAAGUACUUUGGCGUUAGCCAAGGGAAAUCCACUACGCCGCCAGCC
rnacentral:rRNA from 1 species